rnacentral:rRNA from 1 species
CUAAAACUCAAAGGAAUUGACGGGGACCCGCACAAGCGGUGGAGCAUGUGGUUUAAUUCGAAGCAACGCGAAGAACCUUACCAAGUCUUGACAUCCCGAUGACCGUCCCGUAACGGGGGCUUCUCUUCGGAGCAUCGGUGACAGGUGGUGCAUGGUUGUCGUCAGCUCGUGUCGUGAGAUGUGGGUUAAGUCCCGCAACGAGCGCAACCCUUAUCUUUAGUAGCCAGCGGUACGGCCGGGCACUCUAGAGAGACUGCCAGGGAUAACCUGGAGGAAGGUGGGGAUGACGUCAAAUCAUCAUGCCCCUUAUGAUUUGGGCUACACACGUGCUACAAUGGCGUAAACAAAGGGAAGCGAAACUGUGAAGUCUAGCAAAUCUCAAAAGAAAGGGGGGAUUUGCGAACCCCG